GUUGAAACAGCAGUUUCCGUACAAUCACCGAAGUUAAGCAACGUCGAGCCUGGUCAGUACCUAGAUGGGUGACUGAUUCAGAAUGUCAGGUGCUGUAAG